rnacentral:rRNA from 1 species
GACAGAGGGUGCAAACGUUGUUCGGAAUUACUGGGCGUAAAGCGCAUGUAGGCGGCCUAGCAGGUCGGAUGUGAAAUCCCUCGGCUCAACCAAGGAAGUGCAUUCGAAACCGCAAGGCUCGAGUCCGGAAGAGGUUGGUGGAACUGCGAGUGUAGAGGUGAAAUUCGUAGAUAUUCGCAAGAACACCAGUGGCGAAGGCGGCCAACUGGUCCGGUACUGACGCUGAGGUGCGAAAGCGUGGGGAGCAAACAGG